UGUUCCAUCAAUCCAAACAUAGCCUUAGGUUUCCAUUCAAUGGAAGGAGCAAAUAGAUUUUGAGCUCUAUCUGUUGGUGAAAGAUGACCAUGCAGCGACGCCGACGACGAAGGAGGAGCACGGCGGAGAACCCUUCGCUCUCUUCCGUUCUUCUCCCUGACGAGUUGAUUGAAGCGAUUCUGGUGAGACUACCAGUGAGUUCUCUUCUCCGAUUCAAAUCAGUGUGCAAAUCGUGGCUCUCUGUAAUUUCCGAUCCCCAAUUUGCGAAAUCCCAAUUUGACCUAGCUGCUUCACCCACCCACCGUCUCCUUCUCAGUGUCACUGAUGACCUCAAAUUCCAAUCCUUAGACAUUGAUUCAUCACCACCCAAUGACGAUGAAUCUGCAGUGCUCAACUACCCGCGUGAACAGCAGCCUUAUUCUCAUGGUAAUACUUUAUUUUCUAGCCUUCGGGUCCUGGGUUCUUGCAGAGGGUUUCUACUUUUACUUUCACGUUCACCCAAUCAACCAGGAGGUCAUUUCAUUGUGUGUAAUCCAUCAACGGGUUUCCAUAGAAAAAUUCCAUCAUCUUAUAGUUUUAGUGAUUAUACGCAUUUUCAGUAUGGUUUUGGGUAUGAUCAAUCAACUGAUGACUACUUGUUAGUUUCUAUUAAUUCGUUUCCCGGUGAUCCUAGUUCUUCAAUUAAGUUGUUUUCUUUGAAAACCAAUUUAACAUGCUCGCUGCCACUGGAUAAUGAAUAUCACUAUCUCGAUUGUGGUUGUCCAAGCGAUUUGUUCUUACAUGGGUCCCUUCAUUGGUUGGUUACGUCUAGAAUUACGAGGCUUCAUGUACUUCUUGCUUUUGAUUUGGUAGGGAAGAGUUUAUCAAAGAUUGCUCAGUCACCUGAUUUAGCUCAGCAGUUGAACAAUAAACCAUAUGAUUUAAGGGAGAUGGCAGGAUGUCUUGCUCUAUGUUACUCUGCUUAUGGUGAAAUGGCUGAAAUGUGGAUAAUGAAAGAGUAUAAAGUGCAAUCAUCUUGGACUAAGAUUGUUUUCUCUACUCAUGAUGAAUCACCCUGCUUUUUUCCAAUAUGUUUCACUAAAUGUGGUGAUGUAUUUGGAUCAGAUGAGUUUGGAAGAUUAUUGAGACUCAACGAUAAAGGAAAGCUACUUCCAGUUUAUCCGUGGGAUUGGUCUUGGGAGAGCAGAUAUCGUCUAUUAUAUAGUCGUAUGUAUACAGCAAGUAUACUGUCACUCCCUAGUUAAUUUGCGGACCAACAAAAAACAGACAUGAAGUAUCAAUGCUUGAAGCAUGCAAGGAUACUCUUAAUAGUCAGGUCAAUGUCCUAGCUUUCCUUCAAAUGAUGAUACUACAAGAAGAAAACAUGAUGUGAAAAAGUCUUGUAUAACCGAUGAAAAAUAAUGGAUGGAUGUAGAAAAUCAGCUUGAAACUACUUAAAUACAUGGAAGAUCAUGUCUCUUGCCAGUAAAUAUAUGAUGCAAGGAAAGUGUGAUACUGUUUCAGUUACUGGUUUGAUGUUUACCAAGUCUACACUUUUUUUUAUGAUAAUCUUUCUGCAGAUAGCAAAGCUCUAGAAUCUGGGAUCAAGUGGUAGAGAUGUAUACUAACACCAUAGCUUGAGAGUUGGACAAGUUUGUGCACUCUUUUCAAGGGCACACAUACUAGAGUUGAUUUUGUCUUGAAAGAUAUUGGUAAUGGUUAAAUAUGUUUUUCGUCCCUGAACUUUGAGCGAGAUUUGGUAUUCGUCCCUCGCCGGAGUAAAAGCCGAGAUAGACCCCUAAACAUAAGGGAAAUAGUUGGUUUUAGUCCCUUCCGGGGUGGUGGCGCUGACCACCGCGGCCACAUGUCACGACAAGCUACGAUGAUAAUCUGGACCUAUUAUAAUGUUUGACCUAACGUCUGCUCUUUUUGUCUUAGAUAAUGACAUUUUAGAUGUUAAAUAUUAAAACUUUUCAAUUGUAUGUAAGGUGUUUGAUGUGCAGUUGAAGGAGAAAUCAGUGAUGGUUGUUAGCA